UUACGGCCAAAUCACGUUGAAACACCAGUACACGUACGACCACUAAAGUUAAGCAAUAUUGUGCCAGGUCAGUACCUAGAUGGGUGGCCGCUUGGGAAGACCAGGUGUUGUAAG